rnacentral:rRNA from 1 species
UCCAAGGCUAAAUACUCCUGACUGACCGAUAGUGAACCAGUACCGUGAGGGAAAGGCGAAAAGAACCCCGGCGAGGGGAGUGAAAAAGAACCUGAAACCGUGUACGUACAAGCAGUGGGAGCACCCUUUGGGGUGUGACUGCGUACCUUUUGUAUAAUGGGUCAGCGACUUAUAUUCUGUAGCAAGGUUAACCGUAUAGGGGAGCCGGAGGGAAACCGAGUCUUAACCGGGCGUUAAGUUGCAGGGUAUAGACCCGAAACCCGGUGAUCUAGCCAUGGGCAGGUUGAAGGUUGGGUAACACUAACUGGAGGACCGAACCGACUAAUGUUGAAAAAUUAGCGGAUGACCUGUGGCUGGGGGUGAAAGGCCAAUCAAACCGGGAGAUAGCUGGUUCUCCCCGAAAGCUAUUUAGGUAGCGCCUCGUGAAUUCAUCUCCGGGGGUAGAGCACUGUUUCGGCUAGGGGGCCAUCCCGGCUUACCAACCCGAUGCAAACUGCGAAUACCGGAGAAUGUUAUCACGGGAGACACACGGCGGGUGCUAACGUCCGUCGUGAAGAGGGAAACAACCCAGACCGCCAGCUAAGGUCCCAAAGUCAUGGUUAAGUGGGAAACGAUGUGGGAAGGCCCAGACAGCCAGGAUGUUGGCUUAGAAGCAGCCAUCAUUUAAAGAAAGCGUAAUAGCUCACUGGUCGAGUCGGCCUGCGCGGAAGAUGUAACGGGGCUAAACCAUGCACCGAAGCUGCGGCAGCGACACUCAGGUGUUGUUGGGUAGGGGAGCGUUCUGUAAGCCUGCGAAGGUGUGUCGUGAGGCAUGCUGGAGGUAUCAGAAGUGCGAAUGCUGACAUAAGUAACGAUAAAGCGGGUGAAAAGCCCGCUCGCCGGAAGACCAAGGGUUCCUGUCCAACGUUAAUCGGGGCAGGGUGAGUCGACCCCUAAGGCGAGGCCGAAAGGCGUAGUCGAUGGGAAACGGGUUAAUAUUCCCGUACUUGGUGUUACUGCGAAGGGGGGACGGAGAAGGCUAUGUUGGCCGGGCGACGGUUGUCCCGGUUUAAGCGUGUAGGUGUGUGUUCCAGGUAAAUCCGGUUCACUUUAACACUGAGGCGUGAUGACGAGGCACUACGGUGCUGAAGCAACAAAUGCCCUGCUUCCAGGAAAAGCCUCUAAGCAUCAGGUAACAUCAAAUCGUACCCCAAACCGACACAGGUGGUCAGGUAGAGAAUACCAAGGCGCUUGAGAGAACUCGGGUGAAGGAACUAGGCAAAAUGGUGCCGUAACUUCGGGAGAAGGCACGCUGACACGUAGGUGAAGUGAUUUACUCA